UACGUAGGGUGCAGGCGUUAAUCGGAAUUACUGGGCGUAAAGCGUGCGCAGGCGGCCUCUUAAGUCAGAUGUGAAAUCCCCUGGCUUAACCUGGGAACUGCGUUUGAAACUGGGAGGCUAGAGUGUGGAAGAGGGGGGUGGAAUUCCAGGUGUAGCAGUGAAAUGCGUAGAGAUGUGGAGGAAUACCGAUGGCGAAGGCAGCCCCCUGGGAUAACACUGACGCUCAUGCACGAAAGCGUGGGGAGCAAACAGG
rnacentral:rRNA from 1 species